GAUGAAGAACUUAGCGAAAUGCGAUAAGUAGUGUGAAUUGCAGAAUUCAGUGAAUCAUCGAAUCUUUGAACGCACAUUGCGCCUCCUGGUAUUCCGGGAGGCAUGCCUGUUCGAGCGUCAUUAAAAUCACUCAAGCUUAGGUUUGCCUAUUGCUUGGUCUUGAAGAUGGAAGCUAAGUAAUUAGAAUCCUCUUCGAAAUCCAAUGGCGAAGACCCUUGCUCUCCCAAGUGUAGUAAUAACUUAUUCACUGAAGGAAGCGAGUAAUCUUCCGCCGUAACCCCCAUAUUUUCUAUGAUUGACCUCGGAUCAGGUAGGGAUACCCGCUGAACUUAAGCAUAUCAAUAAGCGGAGGA
rnacentral:misc_RNA from 1 species